GACGAACGCUGGCGGCGUGCUUAACACAUGCAAGUCGAACGGAAAGGCCCUGCUUUUGUGGGGUGCUCGAGUGGCGAACGGGUGAGUAACACGUGAGUAACCUGCCCUUGACUUUGGGAUAACUUCAGGAAACUGGGGCUAAUCCCGGAUAGGAGCUCCUGCUGCAUGGUGGGGGUUGGAAAGUUUCGGCGGUUGGGGUUGGACUCGCGGCUUAUCAGCUUGUUGGUGGGGUAGUGGCUUACCAAGGCAUUGACGGGUAGCCGGCCUGAGAGGGUGACCGGCCACAUUGGGACUGAGAUACGGCCCAGACUCCUACGGGAGGCAGCAGUGGGGAAUAUUGCACAAUGGGCGGAAGCCUGAUGCAGCAACGCCGCGUGCGGGAUGACGGCCUUCGGGUUGUAAACCGCUUUCGCCUGUGACGAAGCGUGAGUGACGGUAAUGGGUAAAGAAGCACCGGCUAACUACGUG
rnacentral:rRNA from 1 species